UCUCUGCUCUGGCAGCCUCACCAGAGUAAACAUUACAACACCAGAGUAUACAAACUAGAUUAUAAGCUUACAAAAUCAAACAACACUGCGUGUGCUGCUGAAAUAGAAAUUUUAUUAAAAAAACUAAAAAGAGAACCUAAACCCAUGAGAGCACAGACGCAACUGAGGGUCGGGCCUUAUUAAAACCUCUUUAAGGUAAACCCAAGGGAGUAACCCUUAAAGAGGAAAAAGAGUGUCCGUCUAAAAAAAAUAAAAAAGAAAACUAGCGGUGAGCGGAGUAAGCUCCCCUCAGAAGCUCCGACCGAACCAUUGCCCCUAAGAGGCCUGGCCCACACAAAUCAGAAACAAGAAAAACAACAGUAAAACCAAACCAACAUAGCCUAGAAAGGGGAAGGCAGACCAAAGACCAACACCAGCAGGGGUCAGCACCUUUGACAGCACGGCAGACCAGCAACC
rnacentral:lncRNA from 1 species